GGCGCCGGGAGGCCGGCCCUGCGGGAACGGGCCGGGGAAGCUGGGCGCAGGGUGACGGGACGCCCACCCCGCGCUCCAGAGGCCAGCGCGAGAGUCUCACUCCAGCACCCGGACGGGGCCUGCCGGGGCGCGAGGCCGAGCGGGAGCUCCGUCGCGCCCUCCGCGGAGUUCUAGGUGCCCACGGGAUCCGUGUGGGUGGUGCCGCCUCUGCGCUCCGGGUGGCCCUCGGUCCCGGCACCUGCCGGCCGCCAGUUCGUGACUGUGGCUGCAGCGGCUCUGAGUCCCGGCAGGGGCGCGGGCCCUGCCGGCGGUGGUCCCGCCCCCGUUCCGAGAGGCCGCCCCUCCAGCCUGCCCUGGCCACGCCUGCUGCUGCUGCGGCGGGGCUGGCGCUCCCCCCUCCUUCGGGCGCGGUACCGCCUCCGCGCCAGCCGCGGCAGCCCGAGCCAGACUGGGCACCGCAGUGCAGGGACCGCGUCCCCGCCGCCGCACGGAUCCCCGUCACUGCAGGACCGAGGCCUCAGAGACCCCACCCUUUCCAUUCUUCAGGAAUCAGGCGUCCUGCAAGUGCCACCGACACUGCCGCGACCCCAGCUAUCCCAUUACCACGACGGCAUCCCAUUCCCCAGCCCACCCCACCCCCUGCCCUGGGUUGCUUCCCAUCGCUGCAGAGACCCUCCCUCCUGACUGCAGCGAACCCCCCAGCCCCCCAUCACCGUCACCGCAGGACUCUUCCCCCAAGAAGCUGGCCCCUUUCCUUUGCAAAGUGCUCUUCAUCACUGCAGAAAACCUCCCCCAUCCCUGCAGGUACUUUUAGUUCAUGCAGCCACUUCAGUGACCACUCACUCCAAGCAGGGAUUCCUCAUCACUGCAGCGACCUCCUCCCACCCCCAAGCAGCCGGCCUUGGCAUCGCUGCAGUGCCAACCACUUCUGCUGGGGUGGGAGGGUGUGCACAAUAGCGCCCUCAGCCUAUAACCCCUUGGUCUCUUCAGCUGUGCGGGCCUUGGGAGUGAAGCCUUCUAGCCUGAAGAGCCUUCUUAUGGCUGCAGACCGUCCCCUCAUAGCAGUGACCCCCACCCAUCACCGCAGCCCUGAAGAGAAAACAUCUCUGCUUGUCAGGAGGGCCCCUUGUUAUUGGCAGACUUUGCAUGUGCUUGACAGUGUUAUGCUGUCAAAAAGUAGGAAGGUCCGGAAAACCUCUCCCAGGUCCCCCAAGGAAGAGUCUGAGAGCCCUGGGGAAGUGAGAGGAGAUGACCAUGUUUGGGGAUCAUCCAUGUAAGCUUUUUGGCAGAUGCCAUACUGAGAUUCUGCAGAGAGAGCUUGAGGAGAGCUGGGGAUGGAGGACAGCCAGUAGGAAGUGAGCUUUCGAGUCGGGCCCAUGGUUCUCACUCCUCCGCAUUAACUCUCUCCUUCUGAUUUCAAUCACUAUCACCAGGGAUCAUCCCCCCGGGGGAUCCCUGCCUCCUUGAGUAUCUGAGCCCUCAACCCCAACCAUCUCCUUUGCUCACCCUACUUAGCAUGGUGGAGAGAGCUUGACCUUUUCCCAGGGAAUUUCAUGGGUGGAAAUGCACAGGAAUGAUACAGGGAGCACAGACACAGUCACACGUACCCAACACACAGGGAGCUCCAGCUGGGUCCUAGCCCUCUUUCCAUACUACCUGGGUCAUGGUUCCAUUCACCUCUCUCCCCCUUUCUCUACUGAGUCUGUUCUCAGCUUCAUCCUGAACGAGGGUCCCUCUUUCAGGCCUAGGGAGAAACAGUGGAUGGGCUGAUGGUCCCUCCAGGUGAUCCAGGGCCUCAGGUAGGACCAGCCCUGGCCCUGAGGGCCUCACAAAGGUCCAGGCAGUGGCCACCUUUCCACAAGCACCUUGUGCUCUGCCCCUUCUACAAAUGAACCAAGAGCUACAUGUAGCCCUUGGACAAACAUGAGGUUGCAAAUAGCAGUCAUUAGGGAGGUCUCCGACACAUGGAAAUGGAAAAAGAGGUCCUUCUGUUUGGUCCUGAGGAGAGCUUAGAUGUAAGACAGCCUCCCAGGAAGAUAGCAUCCCUAUCAGAGACCAGACACACACACUGGCAGAAGUCAAACUUUGCUGCAAAGCUGGACCAACCCUGAGAUCUUGCUAGGAAGGUCUCCUUAGCUGAGGCAAAUGGAGGGAGAGACAGGUGAAUGGCUCCACAAAAAGCAUAGGGCACCCUGCAGGAUGAGGGGCAGGGGGUGGGGAGCCAGUGCUGGCUGCCUGGCACCUUGGGUGGGGCAGUAAGAAGGGUCUCUGAGGCCCAGCUGGAAGGCCCUCUGGUGGUGAGGCAGCAGCAUGACAGCCAAGGGCAGAAGGGGACAGCACAGGAACCAGAUUCCAGAUCUGAGGCCGGGCUGAGGGAUAGCAUGGGGUGGGCUACGUGGUAGUCAUAGGAGAAUAGAUGAUAUAGAUGAUAUACAUAUAGAUAUAGAUAUAUAGAUAUAUUUUUUGAGACAGAGUUUCGCCCUGUCGUCCAGGCUGGAGUGUAGUGGAGCGAUCUCGGCUCACUGCAUGCAACAUCUGCCUCCCAGGUUCAAGUGAUUCUCCUGCCUCAGCCUCCUGAGAAGCUGGGAUUACAGGCGAGCACCAGCAUGCCUGGGUAAUUUUUUGGAUUUUUAGUAGAGACAGGGUUUCACCAUGUUGUCCAGGCUGGUCUUGAACUCCUGAGCUCAGGCAAUCUGCCUGCCUCAGCCUCCCAAAGUGCUAGGAUUAUAGGCAUGAGCCACUGCGCCUGGCCCAUAGGAGGAUAUUGAGCUGAAAAGACUUAGCUUCUGCCUAGGAGAGUCUCACACUUUAGUGAAAAGGGCAGACAAAUAUACAGUUACAGUAGCUUGAGAUAAGUGCUGCAUUACAAGAGUAAUAGUAAUGGAUAUUAUAAAAGCUUUUAACUGGCUGGCGGUGGCUCACACCUGUAAUGCCAGCACUUCAGGAGCCUAAGGCAGGAGAAUCCCUUGAGGCCAGGAGUUUGAGACCAGCCUGGACAACAUAGGGAGACCCUAUCUCCAUAACAAUUAAAAAUUAAAAAACAAAUCUUAACCAAGGGUGGUGGUGAUGUGGGGAAUAGGGUGAACCUUAGGGAACUGACUUAGAAAAUGGCACUCAGCCAGGUCUUCUUGUUGCAAAGCACAACUCAAUUAUCUCCUGCUUGUGGGCUGCCUGUCGGCCUUUGGAGGGCAGAGGUCUUAUUUCCCCAAACUAUAGAUGAUCUACCCUCUCAGAUUGGAGCUCCAGAAGAGAUAUACCUAGAGAAAAAGAGGAAUUUUGCCUCUUGCUGUCUAAAGCUUGACUUCCAAAAUCCCAGCCCCUGCCUGAAACCCAAAUUGGAAGAUGGUUUAGUUCAUUAAUUCAUUUGUUCACUCAAGAAAUAUUUCUUGUUGAAGCCUGCGGUGUGCUAGAGCUGGAACUACAGCAGAAAACAAGACAGUGGUAGCCCCUCCCCUCACGAAAGACGUCAAUUAAACAAUUAAUUUUUAAAUUUUGUAUUUCAAAAUAACUUCAAAACUUCUACAAAAGUUGCAAAUAAAGCAUUUUUUUCUGAACCAUUUCAAAUUAAGUUUUACACAUCCGACCUCUUUACCCCUAAACACUUCGGUUUGUCUUUUCUUUUCUUUUUUUUUUUUUUUUCAGAGACAGGGUCUCACUCUGUCACCCAGGCUGGAGUGGAGUGGCACAAUCAUAGCUCACUGCAGUCUUGAACUCUUGAGCUCAAAGGAUCCUUCCUCCUUGGCUUCCCAAAGUACUGGGGUUACAGGUGUGAGCCACCAUGCCCAGCCAGUUGGUGUGGGGGGGGGUAGUUUUUUUUAUUUGUUUGUUUGUUUGUUUGUUUUGAAACACAGUCUCACUGUUUUGCCUAGGCUGGAGUGCAAUGGCUCAAUCUCAGCUCACUGCAACCUCCGCCUCCCGGGUUCAAGUGAUUCUCAUGCCUCAACCUCCAGAGUAGCUGGGACUACAUGUGCACGCCAGAAUGCCUGGCUAAUUUUUGUGUUUUUGUUUUUAUUUUUAUUUUUUGAGAUGGAAUCUCACUCCGUAGUCCAGGCUAGAGUGCAGUGGUGCGUGUGCAAUCUCAGCUCACUGUGACCUCCACCUCCCAGUUCAAGCGAUUCUCCUGCCUCAGCCUCCCGAGUAGCUGAGAAUACAGGCACCCACCACCAUGCCCAGCUAAUUUUUGUAUUUUUAGUAGAGAUGGGGUUUCACCAAGUUGGUCAGGCUGGUCUCAAACUCCUGACCUCAAGUGAUCUGCCUGCCUCAGCCUCCCAAAGUGUUGGGAUUAUAGGUGUGAGCCACUGCUCCCAGCCUUUAAGAGUCUUCUACUGGGAGUAGUUUCUCCUUUUUGUCUUUUGUGAUACUGACACAUUUGAAGAGUACUGGCCAGUUGUUUUGUAGAAUGUCCGUCAGUUUGAGUUUGUCUGUUGUUUCCUCAUAAUUAGAUUCAGGAUAUGCACUUCCCAUAGGAACACCACAUAAGUGACGUUGUACCCUUCUCACUAUAUCUCAUUGGGAGGAUGUACAUGUCAGUUACAGUUACUGGCGAUUUUAACUUUGAUCCUUUCAAUAAGGUGGUGUGUUAGGGUUCUCCAGAGAAAACAGAACCAACAGAGAUUGAGAGAGAGAGAGAGAGAGAGAGAGAGAGAAUACGUAUAUAUAAAAUAAGGAAUUGGCUCGUGUGCUUGUACAGGCAAGUCCAGUGCGGGCUGGCGGGCUAAAGACCCUGGAGACCGGAUGGUGCAGAUGAAAUUUGGAGGCAGCCUGCUGGAGAAUUUCCUCUUUCUCAUGGAGGUCCAUCUUUUUGUUCUGUUCAGGCCUCAAGUGAUUAGAUGAGGAACAUUGUGAAGGUUAACUCUGGGUCUUAGCUUGACUAAAUUAAGGAAGACCUAUUCAGAAGCCGGGGCCAGGCGCGGUGG
rnacentral:lncRNA from 1 species